GCUGGGUGCAGUGGUGCACACCUGUAAUCCCAGCAGCUGGGGAGGCUGAGGCAGGUAGAUCACCAGUUUAAAGCCAGCCUCAG
rnacentral:sRNA from 1 species